GACGAACGCUGGCGGCGUGCUUAACACAUGCAAGUCGAACGGGAUUUAGUAAACAGAAGCUUCGGUGGAAGAUUACUAAUGAGAGUGGCGAACGGGUGAGUAACGCGUGAGCAACCUGCCUAUGACAGUGGGAUAGCCUCGGGAAACCGGGAUUAAUACCGCAUAAAAUCGUAGAAACACAUGUUUUAACGGUCAAAGAUUUAUCGGUCAUAGAUGGGCUCGCGUCUGAUUAGCUAGUUGGUGAGGUAACGGCCCACCAAGGCAACGAUCAGUAGCCGACCUGAGAGGGUGACCGGCCACAUUGGGACUGAGACACGGCCCAA
rnacentral:rRNA from 1 species